AGAGAGAUGGCUCAGUGGUUAAGAGCACUGUUUCAGAGGACCUGGUUCAAUUCCCAGGCUUUCUG
rnacentral:tRNA from 1 species